UCGGAGACGGAUGGGCAUGCGGCGCAUUAGCUGGUUGGCGGGGUAACGGCCCACCAAGGCGACGAUGCGUAGGGGUUCUGAGAGGAAGGUCCCCCACACUGGUACUGAGACACGGACCAGACUCCUACGGGAGGCAGCAGUGAGGAAUAUUGGUCAAUGGGCGAGAGCCUGAACCAGCCAAGUCGCGUGAGGGAGUACUGCCCUAUGGGUUGUAAACCUCUUUUGUCGGGGAGCAAAAGCCGGACGUGUCCGGCUGUGAGAGUACCCGAAGAAAAAGCAUCGGCUAACUCCGUGCCAGCAGCCGCGGUAAUACGGAGGAUGCGAGCGUUAUCCGGAUUUAUUGGGUUUAAAGGGUGCGCAGGCGGAUUUUUAAGUCAGCGGUCAAAUCGUGGGGCUCAACCCCAUCCAGCCGUUGAAACUGGGGAUCUAGAGUGUGCGAGAGGUAUGCGGAAUGCGUGGUGUAGCGGUGAAAUGCAUAGAUAUCACGCAGAACCCCGAUUGCGAAGGCAGCAUACCGGUGCACAACUGACGCUCAGGCACGAAAGCGUGGGUAUCGAACAGGAUUAGAUACCCUGGUAGUCCACGCAGUAAACGAUGAAUGCUACCUGUUUGGCCAGAUUGAUGGCUGAGCGGG
rnacentral:rRNA from 1 species